rnacentral:rRNA from 1 species
UACGUAGGGUGCAAGCGUUGUCCGGAAUUAUUGGGCGUAAAGAGCUCGUAGGCGGUCUGUCGCGUCGGAUGUGAAAAUCCAGGGCUCAACCCUGGACCUGCAUUCGAUACGGGCAGGCUAGAGUUCGGUAGGGGAGACUGGAAUUCCUGGUGUAGCGGUGAAAUGCGCAGAUAUCAGGAGGAACACCGGUGGCGAAGGCGGCUCACUGGACCGGUACUGACGCUGAUGCGCGAAAGCGUGGGGAGCAAACGGGG